rnacentral:rRNA from 1 species
AGGCAGCAGCAGGGAAUAUUGCACAAUGGGCGAAAGCCUGAUGCAGCGACACCGCGUGCGGGAUGAAGGCCUUCGGGUUGUAAACCGCUUUCAGGAGGGAAGAAACUGACGGUACCUCCAGAAGAAGCUCCGGCCAACUACGUGCCAGCAGCCGCGGUAAUACGUAGGGAGCAAACGUCGUCCGGAUUUAUUGGGCGUAAAGGGCUCGUAGGCGGUUCAACAAGUCGGUCGUGAAAGCCCGGGGCUCAACCCCGGGACGCCGGUCGAAACUGUUGUGACUUGAGUUCGGUAGAGGUGAGUGGAAUUCCCGGUGUAGCGGUGGAAUGCGCAGAUAUCGGGAGGAACACCAUUAGCGAAGGCGGCUCACUGGGCCGAUACUGACGCUGAGGAGCGAAAGCGUGGGGAGCAAACAGGAUUAGAUACCCUGGUAGUCCACGCCGUAAACGAUGAACACUAGGUGUAGCGGAUUGAUUCACAUCUGCUGUGCCGUAGCUAACGCAUUAAGUGUUCCGCCUGGGGAGUACGGCCGCAAGGCUAAAACUCAAAUGAAUUGACGG